AUGUACCACGCGUACGCUAAGGUUCUGAGCGUGCCUACCUGAUAGCUGCUCGCUACGUUUUGUCAGCC
rnacentral:sRNA from 3 species